UGCAGGAAGACUGCCCUCUGGGUUGUAAACUGCUUUUAUCAGGGAAUAAACCCUUCUACGUGUAGGAGGCUGAAUGUACCUGAAGAAUAAGGAUCGGCUAACUCCGUGCCAGCAGCCGCGGUAAUACGGAGGAUCCGAGCGUUAUCCGGAUUUAUUGGGUUUAAAGGGUGCGUAGGCGGCUUUUUAAGUCAGGGGUGAAAGACGGUGGCUCAACCAUCGCAGUGCCUUUGAUACUGAAGAGCUUGAAUGUACUUGAGGUAGGCGGAAUGUGACAAGUAGCGGUGAAAUGCAUAGAUAUGUCACAGAACACCGAUUGCGAAGGCAGCUUACUAAAGUAUGAUUGACGCUGUGGCACGAAAGCGUGGGUAUCAAACAGGAUUAGAUACCCUGGUAGUCCACGCCCUAAACGA
rnacentral:rRNA from 1 species